GAUUAACGCUGGCGGCGUGCCUAAUACAUGCAAGUCGAACGCUUUUUCUUUCACCGGAGCUUGCUCCACCGAAAGAAAAAGAGUGGCGAACGGGUGAGUAACACGUGGGUAACCUGCCCAUCAGAAGGGGAUAACACUUGGAAACAGGUGCUAAUACCGUAUAACACUAUUUUCCGCAUGGAAGAAAGUUGAAAGGCGCUUUUGCGUCACUGAUGGAUGGACCCGCGGUGCAUUAGCUAGUUGGUGAGGUAACGGCUCACCAAGGCAACGAUGCAUAGCCGACCUGAGAGGGUGAUCGGCCACACUGGGACUGGGACACGGCCCAGACUCCUACGGGAGGCAGCAGUAGGGAAUCUUCGGCAAUGGACGAAAGUCUGACCGAGCAACGCCGCGUGAGGGAAGAAGGUUUUCGGAUCGUAAAACUCUGUUGUUAGAGAAGAACAAGGAUGAGAGUAGAACGUUCAUCCCUUGACGGUAUCUAACCAGAAAGCCACGGCUAACUACGUGCCAGCAGCCGCCGCCG
rnacentral:rRNA from 1 species